CCGUUAGAUCUACCCUUUAAUCAUUUUCACCUGUUAGAUUAUACUAUUCAACCAACCACCCACUCAACCCUAGGGAACCCACUAUCAACCUAACCGUAUCCACUUUCAUCCUAACUGCAUAUUUUUUCAUCUGAACGGUCGAAAACUUAUGAGUACAAAGGGUUUUAUACUCAUAUGAGUAUAGUAGCCCCAGCCUAAACCGCAGAUAUCAACCAUUAAAAAUUAUGGAUUUUGAAUCCUUUAGAUC
rnacentral:lncRNA from 1 species